rnacentral:rRNA from 1 species
AGCGAACGCUGGCGGCAGGCUUAACACAUGCAAGUCGAACGCCCCGCAAGGGGAGUGGCAGACGGGUGAGUAACACGUGGGAACGUACCCUUUGGUUCGGAAUAACUUGGGGAAACUCAAGCUAAUACCGGAUAAGCCCUUAUGGGGAAAGGUUUACUGCCGAAGGAUCGGCCCGCGUCUGAUUAGCUAGUUGGUGAGGUAAUGGCUCACCAAGGCGACGAUCAGUAGCUGGGCUGAGAGGAUGAUCAGCCACACUGGGACUGAGACACGGCCCAGACUCCUACGGGAGGCAGCAGUGGGGAAUAUUGGACAAUGGGGGCAACCCUGAUCCAGCCAGGCCGCGUGAGUGAUGAAGGCCUUAGGGUUGUAAAGCUCUUUUACCCGGGACGAUAAUGACGGUACCGGGAGAAUAAGCCCCGGCUAACUUCGUGCCAGCCGCCGCCGUAA